rnacentral:rRNA from 1 species
GACGAAGGGGGCUAGCGUUGUUCGGAAUCACUGGGCUUAAAGGGCGCGUAGGCGGUCGAUCAAGUCAGGGGUGAAAUCCUGCAGCUUAACUGUAGAAGUGCCUUUGAUACUGGUCGUCUCGAGGGAGGUAGGGGUGUGUGGAACUUCCAGUGGAGCGGUGAAAUGCGUUGAUAUUGGAAGGAACGCCGGAGGCGAAAGCGACGCACUGGACCUCUUCUGACGCUGAGGCGCGAAAGCUAGGGGAGCAAACGGG